UGGUACUUGAGAUAACGUAAGGGAAAAACAUGAUAUUACCUUACUAUAAGUGUUGUCCAAAUCACUGGUGCCAGAAGACUCGGUAACGCCAGAAACGCAAACGUUAGUCGUCCUUAUCAGGCGUAAAGGGUAAGUAGGCAGCUUUGAAAGUUAUUAUUUAGUAGGCUUUUGACCGUGUAGCAGCUCGAUCAAAUAAUAUAAUAAUGAAUUAAAGCUAGAAUCAAGAAUAGGAUAAGCCAAAUAAUAUUUAGAGUAGGGAUAAAAUCCUCAGAUACUAAAUGGAAUACUUAAGGUGUAAACUUUUAUCCAAUACUGAUUGACGCUGAGGAACGAAGGUGAGAAUAGAAAAUAGGAUUAGAGACCCAGAUAUCUCUCACUGUAAACGAUGAGUGGUAGUUGUUAGUUUUAAUAAAGACUAGUAACGAUGUUAACGCGAUAACCAUUCCGCCUUGCGAGUACG
rnacentral:rRNA from 1 species